CGGGCGCAGCCACGGGAAGCCUCGCUCUGCUCUCCAGCGAUGCGCCCUGGCGCCCGGGCAGGGUGCCAUCUUUUAGGGACACCCAUUCCGGAACAAAGCAGGUGUCUGGCCAAUGAAAACACUCCAUCCUCAUGGUAAACCUGUGAGACAGACAUGACAUAAAGUUGUCCCAUUUGAUGAUGAAGGAAACAGAGGCUCCAAGUAGGUAACUGAUGCGCCCAGGAUCAUACAGAUUGUAAAGGAUGAAAACAGAACUCAAAUCCAAGGCUCUGAGAGACCUGGCCUCAUUAUCUCAUGCUACUGAACUGUCCCCUAUUCUAUAACUGGUGCAAUGAGAAACCCUGGGCUGCCCUCCAUGCAGGAGCAAGUCUUCUCCUCAGAGAGGAGUACAUAGACACUAUUAACAUCCCACAGGAAGUGGUGUUUGCACAGUGCUCCUUGAUUAACGAAUCUCCAGGGAACAAACCUUCUCUGUAGGAUGUGAGGCUGUGCUCAAAAAAACUUCAUAAAUCACGCAGCCACGCUACCUGGGCUGGCAGCGGCAUGCUGGCCACCCUCGGUGCAUGGCUCGUGUUUACAACCACCAUGCUGAAGGUGGUGAUGAGAACUGGAUCCUCCUCUUCUUAUUUUUCACAUCUGAUGAUUGGAAGAAUUUUCCAUGUAUUUCUCAAUGCAUUUUAGAAGGCCUCAGAAACACAGCCAGAUGAAUGUACGUCUUGAAAUACUAACACCCAAAACAGUGUCCUGCUUCCUGCUAUUACUAAAUGGUGAAUGAAAGCUACAGGCCACAUCCCUUCAGGUCCUAACGCCAUACGAGGGUGGAGGAGCACUGGUCACUCUGAGGAGACACCUGGCGCUGGAUAACAGCUGAAGGAGUUGGGCCCGAGGACGGGGCUGGACCUGAGAUGUGUCUUCAUGCAUCCGAGGGGCUGGCCUGAGCAAGAGCAGUUAGACCUGAGCUCUGAGGCCUCCUAGGAUCAGACACAGGGCCAACGGGUGAAAGACUCAAGAAAGUGAUUUCUACUGGUUCUCAGAAGGGAUUUUCUUACCGCCAGUAGAAUCAGCUCCUUGGCAGCCAGUGGGGCCACAGACUUCAUGGACAGGGCACUGACUUUGGAGUUUCUCUGGGUGUGUAUCUCGUUCUGACUCUUAUUAGCUGUAGGCCACAUGAAAGUCAUGCAAAGUGUCUGAGUCCCAGUUUCCUCAUCCAUAGAAAGGAGGGGGGAAAUUGAGGUAAGUACUUAUAAGGAUAUGAAAUAAUGUAAAGUGUGUGGAUAUGCGUAAAAUGCCAGGCAUAUGUCAGGAAGCCCGUAAAUGUUGGCUUCCCUGUUCCUUGCACCUGGAGUUACAUCAGAGAGGGUAUUAAAACUGCAUUGGUGGUCUGUUAAUUUUAAAGGCCUCAUCAGAAUCUGAGAGUCUUGUGAUUUUGUGACUUGAUGAAAUUGUCUGUGUGUCGGCGGGGGGGGGGGGGGGGGGGGAGACGUAGUGACGAGGUAAACAAAGCUCCAAGGAAAAAGCUGAUAAUUUGAAUAGGCUUAUCUGAAGUCUCUGGCUGUGAAUGAAGUAGGCUCUGUUUCUCUAAAGUGGCCACAGGUUGGCUGGGGAGGCCUUCAGCCCCUCCAGGGCCUCCUCAGUGUCUCUAAGACAACCCAGAUAAAUACACAGUCUAAGCCCAAAUUGUUUGCUUGCUGUGGAAAUUCACCAUCAACGUAAGUCCCCUACCUGCCCCUCACCCCGGUUCUUAAGCCCCUCUCAUGUAGAAAACUGGGGGCUCUCUUGUCCUAUAACUUAGUGAACUUGAUCAAUGUGAUGAGAACACUCUGAAGAUAAAAAUGCAUGUUCUGUUGUAGUCUUGCCAGUGGUUAAUGAUUCCAUGGAUGAGAGUCAGGUGUUAAGAAGCUACGUUUAGUUUUUAGGAUGCCAGUAUACCACUUCAUUCAUCCCCAGAGUCGGCUCACCUCCCAUGGCUCCUAAUGCUGGUUAUCCACAAGGAGAAGCAAGUACUUAGAACACGUAUCAUUGGGGUAGCAUUAGGAGAACCCAAGAAAAAUCAUCCUUCCCGUGAAAUGUUUUUUGAUCCUAGAGCAGGAUUGGUACUCUUUGCAGAACAGUAAACUAUCA
rnacentral:lncRNA from 1 species